AAGCGGUGGAGCAUGUGGUUAAUCGAAGCAACGCGAAGAACCUUACCAGGUCUUGACAUCCCGAUGCUAUUUCUAGAGAUAGAAAGUUACUUCGGUACAUCGGUGACAGGUGGUGCAUUGGUUGUCGUCAGCUCGUGUCGUGAGAUGUUGGGUUAAGUCCCGCAACGAGCGCAACCCCUAUUGUUAGUUGCCAUCAUUCAGUUGGGCACUCUAGCGAGACUGCCGGUAAUAAACCGGAGGAAGGUGGGGAUGACGUCAAAUCAUCAUGCCCCUUAUGACCUGGGCUACACACGUGCUACAAUGGUUGGUACAACGAGUUGCGAGUCGGUGACGGCGAGCUAAUCUCUUAAAGCCAAUCUCAGUUCGGAUUGUAGGCUGCAACUCGCCUACAUGAAGUCGGAAUCGCUAGUAAUCGCGGAUCAGCACGCCGCGGUGAAUACGUUCCCGGGCCUU
rnacentral:rRNA from 1 species